UACGUAGGGUGCAAGCGUUGUCCGGAAUUAUUGGGCGUAAAGAGCUCGUAGGCGGUCUGUCGCGUCUGCCGUGAAAGUCCGGGGCUCAACUCCGGAUCUGCGGUGGGUACGGGCAGACUAGAGUGAUGUAGGGGAGACUGGAAUUCCUGGUGUAGCGGUGAAAUGCGUAGAUAUCUGGAGGGACACCGGUGGCGAAGGCGGCAUCCUGGACCAACACUGACGCUGAGGAGCGAAAGCCAGGGGAGCAAACGGG
rnacentral:rRNA from 1 species